rnacentral:rRNA from 1 species
GCGUUUUUCAUGGGCGCAGCCUGAUGCAGCCAUGCCGCGUGUAUGAAGAAGGCCUUCGGGUUGUAAAGUACUUUCAGUCGUGAGGAAGGCGGCGUCGUUAAUAGCGGCGUUGUUUGACGUUAGCGACAGAAGAAGCACCGGCUAACUCCGUGCCAGCAGCCGCGGUAAUACGGAGGGUGCGAGCGUUAAUCGGAAUUACUGGGCGUAAAGCGCAUGCAGGUGGUUUGUUAAGUCAGAUGUGAAAGCCCGGGGCUCAACCUCGGAAUAGCAUUUGAAACUGGCAGACUAGAGUACUGUAGAGGGGGGUAGAAUUUCAGGUGUAGCGGUGAAAUGCGUAGAGAUCUGAAGGAAUACCGGUGGCGAAGGCGGCCCCCUGGACAGAUACUGACACUCAGAUGCGAAAGCGUGGGGAGCAAACAGGAUUAGAUACCCUGGUAGUCCACGCCGUAAACGAUGUCUACUUGGAGGUUGUGGCCUUGAGCCGUGGCUUUCGGAGCUAACGCGUUAAGUAGACCGCCUGGGGAGUACGGUCGCAAGAUUAAAACUCAAAUGAAUUGACGGGGGCCCGCACAAGCGGUGGAGCAUGUGGUUUAAUUCGAUGCAACGCGAAGAACCUUACCUACUCUUGACAUCCAGAGAACUUUCCAGAGAUGGAUUGGUGCCUUCGGGAACUCUGAGACAGGUGCUGCAUGGCUGUCGUCAGCUCGUGUUGUGAAAUGUUGGGUUAAGUCCCGCAACGAGCGCAACCCUUAUCCUUGUUUGCCAGCGAGUAAUGUCGGGAACUCCAGGGAGACUGCCGGUGAUAAACCGGAGGAAGGUGGGGACGACGUCAAGUCAUCAUGGCCCUUACGAGUAGGGCUACACACGUGCUACAAUGGCGCAUACAGAGGGCGGCCAACUUGCGAAAGUGAGCGAAUCCCAAAAAGUGCGUCGUAGUCCGGAUUGGAGUCUGCAACUCGACUCCAUGAAGUCGGAAUCGCUAGUAAUCGUGGAUCAGAUGCCACGGUGAAUACGUUCCCGGGCCUUGUACACACCGCCCGUCACACCAUGGAGUGGGCUGCAAAGAAGUAGGUAGUUUAACCUUCGGGGGACGCUUACCACUUUGUGGUUCAUGACUGGGGUGAGUGCA